rnacentral:rRNA from 1 species
GACGAACGCUGACGGCGUGCUUAAUACAUGCAAGUCGAAGGGAGUGGCGAACGGGUGAGUAACACGUGAGUAACCUGCCCUUUUCUUUGGGAUAAGCCUGGGAAACUGGGUCUAAUACUGGAUGGAUUGGGAUGGGCUCGCGGCUUAUCGGCUGGUUGGUGGGGGUAUGGGUUACCAAGGCUUUGACGGGUAGCCGGCCUGCGAGGGUGGUCGGUCACACUGAGACUGAGAUACGGCCCAGGGUCGUACGGGGGGGAGCAGUGGGGGAUAUUGCACAAUGGACGAAAGUCCAAUGCAGCGACGGCGUGUGGGGGAUGAGGGCCUUCGGGUUGUAAACUCCUUGAGGCCGUGGAAUGGUAGUGGGUAAAGAAGCGCCGGCUAACUACGUGCCAGCAGCCGCGGUAAUUC